rnacentral:rRNA from 1 species
UACGUAGGGGGCUAGCGUUGUCCGGAAUCAUUGGGCGUAAAGCGCGUGUAGGCGGUCCGGUAAGUCCGCUGUGAAAGUCGGGGGGCUCAACCCUCGGAUGCCGGUGGAUACUGUCGGGCUUGAGUACGGAAGAGGCGAGUGGAAUUCCUGGUGUAGCGGUGAAAUGCGCAGAUAUCAGGAGGAACACCAAUUGCGAAGGCAGCUCGCUGGGACGUUACUGACGCUGAGACGCGAAAGCGUGGGGAGCAAACAGGAUAGAUA